rnacentral:rRNA from 1 species
CCUACACGACCGUACCGCAAACCGACACUGGUGCGCGAGAUGAGUAUUCUAAGGCGCUUGAGAGAACUCAGGAGAAGGAACUCGGCAAAUUGACACCGUAACUUCGGAAGAAGGUGUGCCUUUAGUAGGUGAAGUCCCUCGCGGAUGGAGCCCAAUGAGGUUGCAAAAAAUCGGUGGCUGCGACUGUUUAUUAAAAACACAGCACUCUGCAAACACGAAAGUGGACGUAUAGGGUGUGACGCCUGCCCGGUGCUGGAAGAUUAAAUGAUGGGGUGCAAGCUCUUGAUUGAAGUCCCAGUAAACGGCGGCCGUAACCAUAACGGUCCUAAGGUAGCGAAAUUCCUUGUCGGGUAAGUUCCGACCUGCACGAAUGGCGUAACGAUGGCCACACUGUCUCCUCCUGAGACUCAGCGAAGUUGAAAUGUUUGUGAUGAUGCAAUCUCCCCGCGGAAAGACGGAAAGACCCCAUGAACCUUUACUGUAGCUUUGUAUUGGACUUUGAACAGAUCUGUGUAGGAUAGGUGGGAGGCUUUGAAGCAGGGUCGCUAGAUCUUGUGGAGCCAACGUUGAAAUACCACCCUGGUGUGUUUGAGGUUCUAACCUAGGCCCGUAAUCCGGGUUGGGGACAGUGCAUGGUAGGCAGUUUGACUGGGGCGGUCUCCUCCCAAAGUGUAACGGAGGAGUUCGAAGGUACGCUAGUUACGGUCGGACAUCGUGACGAUAGUGCAAUGGCAUAAGCGUGCUUAACUGCGAGACUGACAAGUCGAGCAGAUGCGAAAGCAGGACAUAGUGAUCCGGUGGUUCUGUAUGGAAGGGCCAUCGCUCAUCGGAUAAAAGGUACUCUGGGGAUAACAGGCUGAUACCGCCCAAGAGUUCAUAUCGACGGCGGUGUUUGGCACCUCGAUGUCGGCUCAUCUCAUCCUGGGGCUGUAGCCGGUCCCAAGGGUAUGGCUGUUCGCCAUUUAAAGAGGUACGUGAGCUGGGUUUAAAACGUCGUGAGACAGUUUGGUCCCUAUCUUCCGUGGGCGCUGCAGAUUUGAGGAAGCCUGCUCCUAGUACGAGAGGACCGGAGUGGACGCACCUCUGGUGUAUCGGUUGUCACGCCAGUGGCAUUGCCGAGUAGCUAUGUGCGGAAGAGAUAACCGCUGAAAGCAUCUAAUCGGGAAACUCGUUUCAAGAUGAGAUCUGCCGGGGCCUUGAGCCCCCUGAAGAGUCGUUCAAGACCAGGACGUUGAUAGGUCGGGUGUGGAAGCGCAGUAAUGCGUUAAGCUAACCGAUACUAAUUGCUCGUGCGGCUUGACCCU